rfam:Fukomys damarensis contig138768, whole genome shotgun sequence.
AAACAAUGUGAUAUCUGACACCCCAUUGAUCACCAGGGUUCAUUCAGCUGAGCUGACUGGCUAGGCAGGUGUCCCUUUCCUCCCUCACUGCUCCAUGUGAGUCCCUCCUGAAGCUGGACCGUUUCCUUGUUCAGUGGUGUAAGAGAAGCUGGGCUCCCCUGCUAGAACCUUCAAACAAGCUCUCAAAAUAUGUUUUAUUUAAAAAGUAGCAAAACGUUAUUACCUUCACUCUUAAAAUUGUGUGGGAGAACAGCAUUAGUGACUGACGUUGCCAUAUAAU